rnacentral:rRNA from 1 species
GACGAACGCUGGCGGCGUGCUUAACACAUGCAAGUCGAACGGAAAGGCCCUGCUUUUGUGGGGUGCUCGAGUGGCGAACGGGUGAGUAACACGUGAGUAACCUGCCCUUGACUUUGGGAUAACUUCAGGAAACUGGGGCUAAUACCGGAUAGGAGCUCCUGCUGCAUGGUGGGGGUUGGAAAGUUUCGGCGGUUGGGGAUGGACGCGCGGCUUAUCAGCUUGUUGGUGGGGUAGUGGCUUACCAAGGCUUUGACGGGUAGCCGGCCUGAGAGGGUGACCGGCCACAUUGGGACUGAGAGACGGCCCAGACUCCUACGGGAGGCAGCAGUGGGGAAUAUUGCACAAUGGGCGGAAGCCUGAGGCAGAGACGCCGCGUGCGGGAUGACGGCCUUCGGGUUGUAAACCGCUUUCGCCUGUGACGAAGCGUGAGUGACGGUAAUGGGUAAAGAAGCACCGGCUAACUACGUG